rnacentral:rRNA from 1 species
CCUCACCUCGGUGAGGGCUCCAGCUUGUCUGAAUUAUUCACCCAUGUCUUUUGCGCACUUCUUGUUUCCUGGGCGGGUUCGCCCGCCACCAGGACCAAACCAUAAACCUUUUUGUAAUUGCAAUCAGCGUCAGUAAACAAUGUAAUUAUUACAACUUUCAACAACGGAUCUCUUGGUUCUGGCAUCGAUGAAGAACGCAGCGAAAUGCGAUACGUAGUGUGAAUUGCAGAAUUCAGUGAAUCAUCGAAUCUUUGAACGCACAUUGCGCCCUUUGGUAUUCCAAAGGGCAUGCCUGUUCGAGCGUCAUUUGUACCCUCAAGCUUUGCUUGGUGUUGGGCGUCUUUGUCUCUCACGAGACUCGCCUUAAAAUGAUUGGCAGCCGACCUACUGGUUUCGGAGCGCAGCACAAUUCUUGCACUUUGAAUCAGCCUUGGUUGAGCAUCCAUCAAGACCACAUUUUUUUCAACUUUUGACCUCGGAUCAGGUAGGGAUACCCGCUGAACUUAAG